rnacentral:rRNA from 1 species
CGAGGGUGCAAGCGUUAAUCGGAAUUACUGGGCGUAAAGCGAGUGUAGGCGGCUAUUUAAGUCGGAUGUGAAAGCCCCGGGCUCAACCUGGGAAUUGCAUUCGAAACUGAAUAGCUAGAGUUUGGUAGAGGUAAGUGGAAUUCCGGGUGUAGCGGUGAAAUGCGUAGAUAUCCGGAGGAACAUCAGUGGCGAAGGCGGCUUACUGGACCAUUACUGACACUGAGGCACGAAAGCGUGGGGAGCAAACAGGAUUAGAGACCCGUGUAGUCC